rnacentral:rRNA from 1 species
GAUUGCCUACGGGGGGCAGCAGUGAGGAAUAUUGGUCAAUGGUCGGGAGACUGAACCAGCCAAGCCGCGUGAGGGAGGAAGGUACAGAGUAUCGUAAACCUCUUUUGUCAGGGAACAAAGGCGGGGACGUGUCCCCGGAUGAGUGUACCUGAAGAAAAAGCAUCGGCUAACUCCGUGCCAGCAGCCGCGGUAAUACGGAGGAUGCGAGCGUUAUCCGGAUUUACUGGGUGUAAAGGGAGCGUAGACGGCCAGACAAGUCAGAAGUGAAAGCCCAGGGCUCAACUCUGGGACUGCUUUUGAAACUG